rnacentral:lncRNA from 13 species
AGCUGUUCGUCCUGCGACCUACCUUCACCCUCUGACCCAAGACACAGUCACCAUUUCUUGCUGCUCCAGCUGCAUGUCCUUUCUUGUGGUUUCUGAAAGCCUGCUCCCGGCUUCAUAGGUUCUUGGCACCUGCAGUCCCUUUGAUUUGCCAAGACCACUUUCGCAUUCAGUGCUUUCAACCAGUGACCUUGACUCCUGAACCAGGCAUUAAUUAGCUCAAAUAUCAUCUCUUCCUGGAAACCUUCCUAGACUUGACAACAUCAAGCUCUCAUUUUUAUUUUAUUUAUUUAUUUUGAGAGAGAGUUUAGCUCUUUAACCCAGGCUGCAGUGCAGUGGUGUGAUUUCAGCUCACUGCAACCUCCAGCCCCUGGGUUCAAGAGAUUCUCUUGCCUCAGCCUCCGCAGUAGCUGAAAUUAUAGGUGCCUGCCACCACGCCUGGCUAAUUUUUGUAUUUUUUGUACAAAUGGGGUUUCACCAUGUUGACCAGGCUGAUCUUGAACUCCUGACUUCAGGCGAUCUACCCUCCUCAGCCUCCCAAUGUGCUGGGAUUACAGGAGUGAGCCAUCAUGCCUGGCCAUCAAACUCCUAAUCUUUGAAAGUGUAUGUUCACAUCUACUUUUUCUUUCCAACACUUAUUAAAGUUUAUAUAUUCGUACGAAGACUUGAUUGCCACGGAACCAUGAUAAGCUCCUUCACAUUCGUUGUGUCCUUAACACCUUGCAAAAGGGCAGACGUGAAUUGGUGCCCAGAAAAUAUGCGUUAAAUAAACAACUAAAUAAGUGUUCUAUGCCUGCCCUAUUCACUCAUAAAAUGUCGUGAACGUCUUUUCGCAUCUGUGUGUGCGUGUGCGCAUGUGCGCACGCAAAUGGCCGCCUCAGAUUUAACUGUAAGUGCUACAGUCGUUGACUUAACAGGUCAUCUACUACCACUGGGCUGUUUCCAGCUUUUCCCCGUGAGCAACAGAAAUGUGAUGAAUAUCCUUCACGCCAAAGGAAGCAGCAUUUUCAUUUGGCAGGCACGCAGCUCGGCAGUAUCCCUGACCUCCUGCAGAGUCCAGGUGAGAUCAAGGCAGCAAAACAAACCGGAGGGGCUUCACUGCACCACCACUGAAUAAAACCCAGCACCUUCGCAACCAGGAUGAGACAACGGUAGUGUCUCACCUCUUCAUGGUUGUGAGGAUUCGACCAGCCAGCACUUGCAAAACGCACAAAACUUACCUCCACGUAGUAAGCACCCAACACGUGCUAGUUCUUGCUGUGUUCGUUGUCAUAACCAUUAUCAUUCUUCCAGCCUAAUUUUUGCCUUCAUCUGCAAAGCCUUCUCUAAACACUCUAAUUCACAGAUACCUCUUUUAUGCCGAACGGGUAUCACCCUUAAUAAAUGCCACCUAUUUGGAUUUGUUGUCCA